GAAAGAAAGGAAGAGAGGAAAAGUAAAGGAAAAGCCAUGCAUGGGACGCCCAUUGACAACAACAUUAGAACAUGAAUUUGCCAUAAAUUCUAGGGUUUUUGGAGAGGAAGGGUUUUCCCAUUAGUUUCCUGGAAAAGAAAAUGGAGAGAGAUGGAAUCCAUGCAUAUGGUUUGUAUAUCUAACAUUAUAUGAAAUGAUUUCACAUCAAAUCAAACUUGGUAUCAUUUUCCAGGGAAAGGACCUAGGAAAUUUUUAAGAAGGCCAUGGUGAUAGAAACUUACUUCUUCUUUUUCUCCUUCCUUUUGAACCCAAAGAGAGAAGUAUUUGCUUAGAUGGCUCCAUCAUGAACCUUUUUUCCUGCAUGUUUCUCCUGAAAAAAUCUGGGUAACUUAUAAGGAAAUUGUCUUUCCUAUUUCUUUCUACUUUCCUACCUUCUGCAAAUCAUACAAUUUCUGUGAGCUUUCCUUUUAUUGUGUACAAGUUGGUGCCUCACCAUGCCUACAAAAAGCAAAGAAGGAAACCAGAUGGUUAUCCAACAAAAGCUAGCUUUGCCUAGUAUAGAAUUCACUGUGUUUUUUUGUUGGAUUUGCAAAUGGAAGCUGAUGUAAGCAGAAGGUUUCAGAGAAAGGCAAAAGACAGGUUAAAGAAAAUUUUGAAAGUAUCCCUUUGCAGGGACAACAUUUUCUUUAACUUGUCUUUGCCUGUCUCUGCUAUACUUCUUUAAUUCUCAAAACUUAAGCGGGAGGUUCACUGUUUGCAGAGAAGGCUAGGACAAGUUAAAGAAAAGAAUUUGAACCCAUUGAGAAUAUUUACUUUUUCUUUUAACUUGUCUUUUCCAUUCUCUGAUGAACUAAUGUUUGUUUCUCAAUACUGUACAAUCAAAGGGUGUUUUGAUUGCAGACAUUAAUUGUCUUUUCUUACAGGAAAAGGUUAGCCAAAUCUAAACUAAUUUGUUCAAAAACCUAUUAGAUUAUUUGCUUUUUUUAUCAGCAAAACUCGUACGAAUGGAGAGGUAGGUAGGCCUUACAUUCAUAUAUUGAUUAUUGCUCAAUACUAAUUUUGCGGGGCUGAUGCAUGAAAAACAACAAAAGAAGUGAUGACCAGAACAUGGGGGUAACUUUUCUCUAACUUGUCUUUGCCCUUGUCUGGUACUUCUUUUCUCAAAGCAGAAGGAUCCAUCAAUCAAAAUCAUAGACAUUACUGUUUUUUUCAUGGAUGAAAAGGUGUAAUGUUUUGUCCUUAUAAUUCCACUAAAUGUUGAUGCUAUAAGCUACCCACCAAAGUACCAUGAGUGGACAAUAUUGCUUCCUAAUGGCUAUACAUCUACCUCUGAAACUACAUUACAAGAUUAGUGACUUCAUAUUAUGCCUGGGUUGAGUAAUACAUUAUGCCUCAGGCUCUCAUGUAUCAGUGCUGUUUUGUUUUGCAUGAUCAGUUCAUAGAUUGAUGGAACUCAUGUAUGGUCUGCAAUAUUUAAUAUAAUCAUCAAAGGGGAUCAGAUGUUUAGUUGUAGGAGUUAUCUGCAAAUCCUAUCCUCGUCAAUGCAACAACAAAGGAAUGAAUGAACGC
rnacentral:lncRNA from 1 species